CCUCAACCUCGGAUCUUACGCACAUAUAACACGUUUCUCUCUCUCUUCAUUGUGAACGCCUUCCAUUGCAAUCAAACCAAACCUCUUUCUCUCCAUUUUCCAGGACAACCAGAACACCAAAAGGAACAAGAAAGAAGAAGACAAGGAACUUGAAUAACCCUACUAAAUGAAUACUUCUCUUUGCCUGUUUGGUUGGUUGGAAAGUUAUGUGGAGGCCGAGGUUUUUCUUUGAGCUUUUUUGGACGGCUUAAAUUGCGAUAAACCGUUUCUUUACAAAUAGAAAGUUAAUAAUAA